rnacentral:tRNA from 1 species
UCUCUGGUAGUAUAUCGGUUAGUACACGCGCCUGUCAAAGGAUAUCCCUGAAGAAAAUUGUGCCGCGCGAAAGCUGGGUUCGACUCCCAGCCAGAGAG